UACGGAGGGUGCAAGCGUUGUUCGGAUUUAUUGGGCGUAAAGCGCGUGUAGGCGGUUUCUUAAGUCUGAUGUGAAAGCCCUGGGCUCAACCCAGGAAGUGCAUUGGAUACUGGGAGACUUGAAUACGGGAGAGGGUAGUGGAAAUUCUAGUGUAGGAGUGUAAAUCCGUAGAUAUUAGGAGGAACACCGGUGGCGAAGGCGGCUACCUGGACCGAUAUUGACGCUGAGACGCGAAAGCGUGGGGAGCAAACAGG
rnacentral:rRNA from 1 species